GGAGAGGUGCCGGAGUUGGUCUAACGGGGCAUCCUGCUAAGAUGUUGUCGCUGAUAAGGCGACCGUGGGUUCGAAUCCCACCCUCUCCG
rnacentral:tRNA from 1 species